rnacentral:rRNA from 1 species
UACGUAGGGUGCGAGCGUUGUCCGGAAUUACUGGGCGUAAAGCGCACGUAGGCGGUCCAGCAAGUCGGGUGUGAAAGCCCUCGGCUUAACCGAGGAAGUGCAUUCGAAACUACUGGACUUGAGUACUGAAGAGGAUCGCGGAAUUCCCGGUGUAGAGGUGAAAUUCGUAGAUAUCGGGAGGAACACCAGUGGCGAAGGCGGCGAUCUGGGCAGAUACUGACGCUGAGGUGCGAAAGCGUGGGGAGCAAACAGG